CGUAUGCCAAUUGCCCAAUGCCAAUAUUUUUGUUGCAAAUUGUUAUGAAGUGAUCGAAUUUUUAACUUCUUAUAAAUAAAUUCACUACACGUGUUUGCGAUUGUUAAUACUUCAUAUUCAUCAUUAGUAGUAGACGUCUUAUAUUAUUAUUAUAAAAUCUUCGGUAUUAAUCGUUUCAAUUGCAAUGUGAUAGUUGAUUGAAUCUUCCUGUCUGUGUAGCAAGAGUUAAACCUAGUUACCAAACAUGAAAUCUAGUAAACGAAGGCUUCAGGCACUCACAGAGGGUUCCGAAGGCUUAUCCAACUAUUUAAAAAUGGAAGAUUCUGAGACAUCGAUUCCACCUGUGUUUAGAUCACGAUUGCACGAGUUAUUUUCUCAAAUAGAAAAAGAAUUUGACCUUCUUUAUUCAGAAAAUUUGAAUUUGCAAGAGAAAAUUGAUAUUUUAAGUGAAAAACUUGAGAGAGAGAGUUGCAUUGGUGACAAACAAAAUGUUGAUUAUAUUGAAUUUGAGACAUCAGGAAAAAAUUCGAAAGCAAAAAUAUCACAAAAUAACUCGCAAAAGGUAAAAACCAGUCAUAAAUUAAGAGUGCAGACUAGUAAGAUUGUGUCUAGUUUUAAAGCACCUUCAUACAGUUGUCAGCUUGUUAGAGAGUUUACUGGACACAAGGAUGGUAUCUGGGAUGUCUCAUCAGCCAGACCUGGUCAAGCACUCUUUGGAACUGCCUCAGCAGAUCACACUGCCUGUGUAUGGAGUGUGGAAUGGGGCAAGUGCUUAUUGCAGUACACUGGUCACUCUGGUUCAGUCAACUCUAUCAAAUUCCAUCCAAGCAGGGACAUUGCUUUGACCAGCAGUGGUGAUAAUACUGCACAUGUAUGGCAAGCUGCUGUCAAUUGGGAUUUACCGCGUGGCCAAUCUUCUGAGGAGGAACUCGAAGGUGGUGGUGAAGAGAGCCUAGGUGAAGGCGAGAGGCCAGAAGUGCUCCGUACACCGCUCACAGAACUAACGGGACAUUUGGGUGUGGUGGUUGCAGCUGACUGGCUCACUGGUGGCGAUCAUGUGAUCACUGCAUCAUGGGAUAGAACAGCUAAUUUGUAUGAUGUAGAAACGGGAGACUGUCUCCAAAUAUUAACAGGUCACGAUCACGAACUAACCCACGCGUCAGCUCAUCACAGCUCACGGCUGGUGGUCACCGCGUCCAGGGAUACGACCUUCCGGCUCUGGGACUUUCGAGAACCGAUACAUUCUGUAUCUGUGUUCCAGGGACAUACGGAGAGUGUCACAUCAGCCGUGUUCACACGAGAGGACAAAGUUGUGUCUGGAUCAGAUGAUCGGUCAGUUAAGGUGUGGGACGUCCGCAACAUGCGCUCAGCGCUGGCCACCAUCAGGUCGGACUCGUCCGUGAACAGGGUGUCGGUGAGCGGCGGCGGGCUCAUCGCCAUCCCGCACGACAACCGGCAGGUGCGCCUGUUCGACCUGCUGGGGCAGCGGCUGGCCAGGCUCCCGCGCUCCAGUAGACAGGGCCACCGUCGCAUGGUGACGUCAGUGGCGUGGGCGGAGGACAUGACGUCGAACAUAAACUUCUUCAGCUGCGGCUUCGACCGGCGCAUCCUCGGCUGGUCGGUGCAGCCGUCCAAGGAGAACUGAGCGGUGCUCUCGCCCUGGAGCGUUCUGGAACACCUCGCCGGUUUCUGAAUGUGUUUUGUCACAUUUUGAAGAUUCCUUCCUUCUUGAUUGGGCGUAACACAUAUUGCAUACUUAUGCGACAUAUCUUAAAUAACCAUUAUCUGGUGAACAUUGAUUUGCGAUUGAAAGAUCAGCCCCAGUCUAUAAUGUAUAGCUAACUGAAUCUGCACAAUAACUUUAAUUGCUUAAUUUUAAGAUGUUGAUGGUGUUUAGAGUUUAUUUAUACGCUUACGCUACGGCUUGGGCAUGUUUAUAGAGUAUUUUAUUGUUAUUAAAUAAGUUGGUUGUCGGUUUGUCCUUAUAGUUUUAAGCUAUAAUUAUUACAAUUUGCGUUUUACGUGAUAUAAAGUAUUUCAUAAUCGCAAUGUAUUGGAGAGUACAUUGUUAUUUGUAAUUUUAAUUGUUUAAACAUUCAACUGUAUUCUUUUGUGUUUCACAUAUACAAUGCUUUUAAACAACAGCUAAUAUAGAUAAUGUGCGGAAAGGUUGUUUAAGAAAUUUCACCCUUCUCAAAAUCUCUUUAGCAAUUAGGUUUCCAUUUAAUUCUAUUUUUCAAUAACUAGCUGCAGAAAUUGUGUUUGUGAAAAGUUAUUUGUAUAGUAUUAUUGUAUCAUAUCCAAUUAUUACUAGAAAAUACGCUUUUUUCAACGUUUUCUCUUCAUAAGUAUCUGUGAAACAUAUCUUUAGAUUUAAUUGAUGGAAAAUCUGGAGAUAGGUAUCAGCAAUCCUACUAGUCAAGCGAAAUUUUUUAUUUAAACCAAAGAUGUGGCUUGGACGUUCUUAGUGUUUAUUUAUCCUCACCCAGUAUCGUAUAACGUAUAAUAUGAAGAUACAACAUAUCAUUGAGAUACCUUUUCUCGAUAUUUUGAUUGAUUCAUUCAUGCACUCAUAAAUGAUUGAAAAUUGAAAAAUUUCUCAGACAGGAAACGGCUUGAGAAUUGAUAUUAUAUAAAGCUAUUUUAGUGUAUGGUCUAUUGGUUUAUUUUUUGUUUAAACCGUUUGACCUAUUAAAAAACGCGUGCACAUUCUCAAUUCGUAUUUCUUUUUUGUAGUUAUUGGUAUUGAAAAUCAUAAAUCUGUAUUCAUUUAACAUAACUUUAAUUUACUUACAAAUAUGUAAAAAAGAAAAAUAUUAGGUACUUAUGUAAAUGAUUGUUGAUAUUUACUUUAUUUGUACUUAUGUUUAAUGUGUUUACAUUAUUAACCUAUAAUAUUGUGGUUAAUUGGGAUCGUGGGAAGUUGUAAAAACGAUAUACUAACAAAUAUAAGUACAUUAUAUCGUUGUUAAUGUUAAUAGUGUAUGAAUUAUAACAACAUUCUAUUUUAACAGCUUCAUGCUGUCAGUUAUUCAUAAGAUUUGAUUGAUUAUCACGAUUUAAAAUUAACGCUAAUUGUACUCGAUCAUGUAACAUAGCAUAAUAGUUACUUGUUAAUGGAAUAAUCAUUGUGAUUAAUAAGUAAAUGUAGGUUUUGAAAAUUGAUCUGGAUAUUUUUUUUAUUCUGUUAUGAUAUGAAUUGAAAUAAAAUAUAAAU